GGAAUGUUUAAGUUUCCAGCUAUUAUUAUAUUGGGAUGUAUUUCUCUCUUUAGCUGUAAUAAUAUUUGCUUUAUAUAUCUGGGUGUUCCAGUGUUGGUGUAUGUA